rnacentral:lncRNA from 1 species
CUAGGGCUUGAGCCAGGCCAUCUGCAUUCACGAGCUUCUCCGCCAACACUUUGCCGAUCGCCUGUGGAUCAGCAGAUCACACCCUGGCUGAUUCCGCCGUACCAAUUCGGAUGCCCUUCUUCUCUGCAGCUGACAGCUUCAUCCGCUCCAUCAUCCCCUCCACCACCUCCAUCUUUCCCUGUACCUCGCACGACUAGGUUUUAAGACGACUAGUAGAUCUAGGCUUGGC